rfam:TPA: Bos taurus chromosome 8, whole genome shotgun sequence.
UCCCUGGCAGUCCAGUGGCUAAGACUCUGUGCUUCCCAUGCAGGGGGCCUGGGUUCAAUCCCUGGUCAGGGAA